rnacentral:rRNA from 1 species
GACGAACGCUGGCGGCGUGCUUAACACAUGCAAGUCGAACGGAAAGGCCCUGCUUUUGUGGGGUGCUCGAGUGGCGAACGGGUGAGUAACACGUGAGUAACCUGCCCUUGACUUUGGGAUAACUUCAGGAAACUGGGGCUAAUACCGCAUAGGAGCUCCUGCUGCAUGGUGGGGGUUGGAAAGUUUCGGCGGUUGGGGAUGGACUCGCGGCUUAUCAGCUUGUUGGUGGGGUAGUGGCUUACCAAGGCUUUGACGGGUAGCCGGCCUGAGAGGGUGACCGGCCACAAUGGGACUGAGAUACGGCCCAGACGCGUACGGGAGGCAGCAGGGGGGAAUAUUGCACAAUGGGCGGAAGCCUGAUGCGGCAACGCCGCGUGCGGGAUGGCGGCCUUCGGGUUGUAAACCGCUUUCGCCUGUGACGAAGCGUGAGUGACGGUAAUGGGUAAAGAAGCACCGGCUAACUACGUG